UAGCUUCAACAGCUCAUGCACUAAAAACGGAGCCCUACAGAAGAUUAGCAUGACUCCUGAGCAAGGAUAACAUGCAAAUUCAUAAGGCAUCUCAUUUUUAA
ensembl:snRNA U6 U6 spliceosomal RNA